CUCCAGUUUUUCGUAAACUAUUUCACGAGAUCGGAUGAUCUGCACGAGGAGAUCGGCAUAUUUUGGCAGCCCCGUGUUUCAGACGUGUUCAGAAACGUUACAGAAGGCGACAUGUGUUUGUCAUCAUCAGAGGCUGAAUAGGUCAAUGAGGACCACGUGAACAUUAUACGGCAAUUCUCCUUUCGACGAAAGCAGCACUUUAGAGAGAAGGCCCCUCGCACAAUGGCAGUCGUAAGCAAAGUGAGUGCACUUCACGUCUAGAACACGGCACGGGGACUUUCUCCCGCAUUCGGUUUGGAAUGCUAAAUCAAGUCGAGGUUUUUCUUUUUUUUUUGCAUUUACACAUCAGACGACAUACAUAAACCGCAAACGUCUCACAAAGUGUCAUCUUUCAGAUUAAAUACCGCCCACCCCACCCAACAUGGUCAAACCAAUCAGAAAGCACGGGCCGCACGUCUCAUCGUCAAACAA